rnacentral:lncRNA from 1 species
AGAAGAUUUAUAGUUAUCUUGUGUCUAUGACUUAUGUAUAUAACCUUGUACGUAACAUUAUAUAAUGAAUAACAAGUUAUCUUCUCAUAGUUUCUCUUAGCUUUCACUGCUCUAACGCAUCCAUUGAUAUAACUCUCACCUAACUUUUCCUGAAGACCUAUCUAACAUUUUGUGUCUUCAUCUCAAGCAACAUAUCCUUUGAGCACUUCUCAUCCACACUAAAUGCACAUUAUAUUUGUUAUUAAAGUCUGAGUGAUUCCCGCAUCACCCUUUGAACGAUCACCUUUGAUCACUUUUGAUGCACAACGAUCUCGUCGUCCUUUGAACAUGAUCCAAAAAUAACUCCAUGUCCUCGAUCCAUUCUUGCUACUUUUUAAUCUUCAUUAAUAUAGCCUAUAAUAAAAAAAAAAAAAUAUAUAUAUAUAUAGCCUAUAAUAGUGUUGCUUCCUUCUUGUGGUGUAUUUUGUUUGAUUUCAUCAAGUAAGCUACACUUCGACAACACCUUACCAAAUUUCUUUGGUUCAAAGGUUUGAUACUUUAGUAACAAUUAAUAACAAUAUAGUAUUGUACUUAAUAUUUUUUUUUCUACUUCGUGUCUCACUAAAUAUUAAAAUAUAUAUAAACUUCAACAUAUAUACAUAAAAGAGAAAUUACCUAUAAUGACUCUAAUCAUCCAUGUUAUUACUAGACUAAUUCAUAAACUUUUUUAAUUACUGUACUAGAUCACAUGGGUAACGAAAAUACAAAAAAACCAGCCUUCCUUUGAGUAUUAACAAAAUUGCCAUUGAAUUAAUUUAAUAAUUAAUUGUAUAAUAUUUUCCAAAAAAGUAAAACUCUUUUGUCGACUCUUCUCUCUUUCACAAUCUCAAAUUCUCUUCUCCACGCAUAGAACCUCCAUCUCCGACAACCUCAUCUCAGUUGCAGUCGCCUUACGCUUCGUUACCUCCUCUCUAAGCCAGCGUUGUCCCUGUACACGAUGAAACCCUAAUUCCAAACCCUAACUUCGAUUUGG